rnacentral:rRNA from 1 species
AGUAGAACGCUGAAGAGAGGAGCUUGCUCUUCUUGGAUGAGUUGCGAACGGGUGAGUAACGCGUAGGUAACCUGCCUUGUAGCGGGGGAUAACUAUUGGAAACGAUAGCUAAUACCGCAUAACAAUGGAUGACACAUGUCAUUUAUUUGAAAGGGGCAAUUGCUCCACUACAAGAUGGACCUGCGUUGUAUUAGCUAGUAGGUGAGGUAACGGCUCACCUAGGCGACGAUACAUAGCCGACCUGAGAGGGUGAUCGGCCACACUGGGACUGAGACACGGCCCAGACUCCUACGGGAGGCAGCAGUAGGGAAUCUUCGGCAAUGGGGGCAACCCUGACCGAGCAACGCCGCGUGAGUGAAGAAGGUUUUCGGAUCGUAAAGCUCUGUUGUAAGUCAAGAACGAGUGUGAGAGUGGAAAGUUCACACUGUGACGGUAGCUUACCAGAAAGGGACGGCUAACUACGUGCCAGCAGCCGCGGUAAUACGUAGGUCCCGAGCGUUGUCCGGAUUUAUUGGGCGUAAAGCGAGCGCAGGCGGUUUGAUAAGUCUGAAGUUAAAGGCUGUGGCUCAACCAUAGUUCGCUUUGGAAACUGUCAAACUUGAGUGCAGAAGGGGAGAGUGGAAUUCCAUGUGUAGCGGUGAAAUGCGUAGAUAUAUGGAGGAACACCGGUGGCGAAAGCGGCUCUCUGGUCUGUAACUGACGCUGAGGCUCGAAAGCGUGGGGAGCGAACAGGAUUAGAUACCCUGGUAGUCCACGCCGUAAACGAUGAGUGCUAGGUGUUGGAUCCUUUCCGGGAUUCAGUGCCGCAGCUAACGCAUUAAGCACUCCGCCUGGGGAGUACGACCGCAAGGUUGAAACUCAAAGGAAUUGACGGGGGCCCGCACAAGCGGUGGAGCAUGUGGUUUAAUUCGAAGCAACGCGAAGAACCUUACCAGGUCUUGACAUCCCGAUGCUAUUUCUAGAGAUAGAAAGUUACUUCGGUACAUCGGUGACAGGUGGUGCAUGGUUGUCGUCAGCUCGUGUCGUGAGAUGUUGGGUUAAGUCCCGCAACGAGCGCAACCCCUAUUGUUAGUUGCCAUCAUUCAGUUGGGCACUCUAGCGAGACUGCCGGUAAUAAACCGGAGGAAGGUGGGGAUGACGUCAAAUCAUCAUGCCCCUUAUGACCUGGGCUACACACGUGCUACAAUGGUUGGUACAACGAGUUGCGAGUCGGUGACGGCAAGCUAAUCUCUUAAAGCCAAUCUCAGUUCGGAUUGUAGGCUGCAACUCGCCUACAUGAAGUCGGAAUCGCUAGUAAUCGCGGAUCAGCACGCCGCGGUGAAUACGUUCCCGGGCCUUGUACACACCGCCCGUCACACCACGAGAGUUUGUAACACCCGAAGUCGGUGAGGUAACCUUUUGGAGCCAGC